rnacentral:rRNA from 1 species
UACGUAGGCAGCAAGCGUUGUUCGGAGUUACUGGGCGUAAAGGGUGUGUAGGCGGUUGCUUAAGUUUGGUGUGAAAUCUCCCGGCUCAACCGGGAGGGUGCGCCGAAUACUGAGUGACUAGAGUGCGGGAGAGGAAAGUGGAAUUCCUGGUGUAGCGGUGAAAUGCGUAGAUAUCAGGAGGAACACCGGUGGUGUAGACGGCUUUCUGGACCGUAACUGACGCUGAGACACGAAAGCGUGGGGAGCGAACAGG